CCUCGAUAAUGGCAUACCUAUUGAAAAAUAGGGGCGCAAAGUACUGAGUCUACGGUUUUACACUAUGAUUGUCAGUAUACCGAA
rnacentral:ncRNA from 1 species